AACGAACGCUGGCGGCAUGCCUAACACAUGCAAGUCGAACGAGAAACUUUUCUUCGGAAGAGUGGACAGUGGCGAACGGGUGAGUAACGCGUAGAUAAUCUACCCCGGAGUCUGGGAUAACCUCGUGAAAGCGAAGCUAAUACCGGAUAACAAUGGAGUUCUAGUGGUCUUUAUUUGAAAGGUCCGCCGCUCCGGGACGAGUCUGCGUUCCAUUAGCUUGUUGGUGGGGUAAUGGCCUACCAAGGCGACGAUGGAUAGCGGGUCUGAGAGGAUGAUCCGCCACACUGGCACUGAGACACGGGCCAG
rnacentral:rRNA from 1 species